rnacentral:rRNA from 1 species
CAGCAGCCACGGUAAUACGAAGGGUGCAAGCGUUACUCGGAAUUACUGGGCGUAAAGCGUGCGUAGGUGGUGGUUUAAGUCCGUUGUGAAAGCCCUGGGCUCAACCUGGGAAUUGCAGUGGACACUGGGUCACUAGAGUGUGGUAGAGGAUAGUGGAAUUUCCGGUGUAGCAGUGAAAUGCGUAGAGAUCGGAAGGAACAUCUGUGGCGAAGGCGACUAUCUGGGCCAACACUGACACUGGGGCACGAAAGCGUGGGGAGCAAACAGGAUUAGAUACCCGAGUAGUCCCUGUCUCUUAUAC